AGCUCGGCCGGGUCGGCGGCGCGGGUGGUGAGGAGGUAGUCGCGCAGGGCGGUCCCGUGGCGCUGCUG
rnacentral:sRNA from 1 species